AAAGACUUAGUCCUAACCUUUCUGUUGGUUUUUGCCAAACAUAUACAUGCAAGUAUCUGCGACCCAGUGUAAAUGCCCUAAAUCUCUUACUAAGACAAAAGGAGCGGGCAUCAGGCACACCAGCCGUAGCCCAAAACGCCUUGCUCAGCCACACCCCCACGGGUACUCAGCAGUAAUUAACAUUAAGCAAUAAGCGUAAGCUUGACUUAGUUAUGGCAACACCCCAGGGCUGGUAAAUCUUGUGCCAGCCACCGCGGUCAUACAAGAAGCCCAAGCCAACAACUACACGGCGUAAAGAGUGGACCAGAGCUUAUCAACAACAACUAGGGUCAAAAUGCAACUGAGCUGUCAUACGCCUAAGAUGCCCCUAAGAUCAACCUCAAAACGACCCCAGCACCCCACGAUCAAUCAACCCCCACGAAAGCUGGGAUACAAACUGGGAUUAGAUACCCCACUAUGCCCAGCCCUAAAUCCCGAUGCUCACCUCACCAAAGCAUCCGCCCGAGAACUACGAGCACAAACGCUUAAAACUCUAAGGACUUGGCGGUGCCCCAAACCCACCUAGAGGAGCCUGUCCUAUAAACGACAACCCCCGCUACACCCGACCGCCUCUUGCCAAAACAGCCUACAUACCGCCGUCGCCAGCUCACACCAACUGAGGGAUCCACAGUGAGCACAAUAGCCCACUAACCGCUAGCACGACAGGUCAAGGUAUAGCUCAUGAGACGGAAGAGAUGGGCUACAUUUUCUAGAUUAGAACAUCCACGAAAGGGGGCAUGAAACUACCCCCGGAAGGCGGAUUUAGCAGUAAAGCAAGACAAUAAAGCCCGCUUUAAGUCGGCCCUGGGGCACGUACAUACCGCCCGUCACCCUCCUCACAAGCUAUCAAUCAACAAUAAUUAAUAACCACACUAGCUAAAGAUGAGGUAAGUCGUAACAAGGUAAGUGUACCGGAAGGUGUACUUAGCACAC
rnacentral:ncRNA from 1 species